rnacentral:ncRNA from 26 species
GCGGGCAAAGAUCGCGCCGGUGCCUCUUGAUCGAGGCUUAAAAGGGAAGGCGGUGCGGAUGGGUCACACCAUCCAAAGCCGCAGCUGUCCCUGCAACUGUAAGCGGUGAGCGUGAUGUACACGGCUUCCUCCUGGAAGGAAGCAGCCACUGGACCCUUAAAAAGUCUGGGAAGGUCGUACAUGACGCCAUGAUCCGUGAGCCAGGAGACCUGCCGGCGUUCUGGUCGCUCUU